rnacentral:antisense_RNA from 1 species
GAUCUGGCUUCACAGACAGUUGACACAUCUAAAAGAAUCUUUGUUUCCAACUGGACUGACUCAUUGAGAGGAAACCUUCACUGCACCUCACCAGUGCAGACAGAAGACCUGGAGGCAGGACGGGAGGCAUUUUAUACUUCAGCACGAUAUGGGCCUGACUUUUCAUUUUCUACAUAGAGACAUAUUUCUGGAGGCUCAUCAUCCUGAGGGGGAGAAACAUGGAUUUCAUGGUUUUGCCAUAAAAGUAUGCAACAAAGAGUUCC